CGAAAUAAUGUUUCCCUGCUCCCAAGUUUCUUGCGACGAUUAAUAUGCAUAAUAGCACAGGACCCGGCGCUGAGCCGCGCUGGAGAAGCUGACACUUCACACAUCUGUCAAGAUAACCAUCAGGCUCCACCUCUGAGAUUGCAACAUUUACCGACAGGCAUCACAGUUGUAAAAUGUACAAUAAGUUCCCUCUGUGGCUCCGGAGCCCAGCGCGCGCACAGAGGAGCUGACUCUAACUUUGCUUUUUGAUUGUUCAGUCAUUGUUACUGGCAGGCAAUAUUGGUUUUACAAACUGCGUUGGAAUCUUAGUCUCUUCCUUGCUUCGCUGCCCUGCAAAGACCCAGGACUCCAGGGCUGCUCGAAGGGGAGGCCGCCGGGGCCGCCAGCCGGCUCCUGUCUCAGGGUCCAGAGCGGCCGGGGCCAGGCUCCCUCAUCCAUCUCUCAGGCCUGGGGGCGCCACCGUGACGCGGAAGGGGGAGCUGCGGCCGCGAACCCGAAGCUGGGCUCAAUCCCCUCCCCCCAGCGAUCCGGAGUGAAGGGCCCGGGCGCUCCGCCAGAACGGGCGCGAUUCGCUCCCCUUUAUCAAAUUCUUAUCGGUGCCCCGAGGUGGGAACAGCCGCUUUCGACUAGAGGAUACAUGGCUUCUGGCUCUGGUCCCGCAGUGGAAGUCGGAACAAGAGCAAAUCAACCCAAGCAAUGAACUCUUCGGGCUCCCAGGCUCCAGUCCAGUUACCCCCGCCCUUCGAGGCCGGAUCCCCGGAUCCCCGCACCACCCCAUGAUCGCCCAGCCGUUGACCUAGAGAGGCUCAGGUCCUUCAACCCGCCGCGCGUUGGAUUCCCGUUCCCCGCACCCUAGCCCCGCCAAGCCUCCGUCGAACUCAGGGCUGAAAAAUCCAAUUCUGCUGGGGUCACUGUUCGGGCCGAGAUCAACUGGAAAGACCCCAAGGGUCCCAAAGAAAAGAGAGGAGUGGAUGUUGCCCCGUCUGCGGGUCUUAAGAAAGUCAAAAGUUGACCUAAGCCGAAUCGACCAAGAAACAUUUCAACAGCUGUCAUCGUCUCUGUGGCCCUUUGAGACGCGGACCACCUGGGCUACAGGACCAGUAGCGGCUGCAGCUGCUGCCUUCGCUGUGGCCCUCGCAGGUGUUAAAGAUCCUAAGCGCUCGCAGGUCCCGAGCUCCCCGCACAGCCAGGUGGAAGUUUGCGGGCUGCAGGGUAGGUGCGGGGGAGGGGGGUGGAGAAAGGUGACGGGGAGGAACCUGCACAGGGAGGCGGGGUCCAGGAAAGAAGUGGGAGGAGGCUGUCAAACGCAAAAAGAGGGCAGCGAGACGAGGACUGAAGUUCCCUUUUCUCUCGAAAAGGAGUCAGGAGUCACUUUUCUGGGUUUUCGGA
rnacentral:lncRNA from 1 species